UGCGGCGAGCAGAGGCAGGCCUCUAAGCCAUGUUAGGUUCAUGAGCUUCUCAUAUUAGAGUCUUUGAACCAUCCGCAUUCUCGAGCAGGCUUUUUAUAUUGGUACAAGAUGUUACAGAUCAACGAUGGAGCUUGGACCAAUGAAGAUGUAUGAAAAGCUAUCGAUGUGCGGGAUUGUUGGACGUAAAUAUUCGACGGGAGGAGACGCCAUUUACAGUAACUCGUGCUGUGGCUGUAACAAAUCACUAUAAAAAUGCUGAUGGUCCUCCUCUGUGUAUUCAUAUCUAACUUCGACCAGACUGGUAGAGCUGCACAUGGAGCCAUACCAACCGGCAAGUGAAAUUACAUUUAGUACAUAUAGAUUAAAAUGAGAACUUGCUUUCAUUUUAGACCAAUGCUUACUAAUCGCGUUUGCCUGCAUACUCCCUCAAGUGCAGUGAGCAUGGCCUAGGAUUUUUCUUUAUGUUAUUGCAUGCAGUUUGUAGUUUGACGACCUUUUGUUUGUAGAACGUGCUGUAAACUGGAUGCAUGCAUUAGUUGACGGAACAUACUUCGUUUUUUGCAUUUAUUUUGUAUGAAAAUUUAAUAAAUUGGGCAUGCUUACCUGGAUCCUAAUGUCUAUCGACACAUAAGGAGAAUCAAGUAGAAGUUGAAAGAUUACGGUUGACUUUCUUAAAACCAACGCUUACAUAACGCAGUAAAACA